GGCACAGAUUUCAAGUAGAUUUGCUGAGUAGGGCCAGCUGAUGCUACUUAUCUACUCUAUUUCGAAUUCGUGCCC
rnacentral:pre_miRNA from 1 species